rnacentral:rRNA from 1 species
UACGUAGGGGGCGAGCGUUGUCCGGAUUUACUGGGCGUAAAGCGCGUGUAGGCGGGAGAUUAAGUUGGGUGUGAAAGCCCGGGGCUCAACCCCGGGAUGCCGCCCAAGACUGGUCUCCUUGAGGACGGAAGAGGGGAGUGGAAUUCCUGGUGUAGCGGUGGAAUGCGCAGAUAUCAGGAGGAACACCAAUAGCGAAGGCAGCUCGCUGGGACGGUACUGACGCUAAGGCGCGAAAGCGUGGGGAGCGAACAGG